GGAUGUGAGGGAAAUCUGGCUGUGACAUCUGUCACCCCAUUGAUUGCCAGGGUUGUUUCAUCUGAUCUGGCUGGCUAGGCAGCUGUCUGCUUCCUCCUUAACCUCUACAGGUGUGUCCCUGCAGAAGUUGUGCACUUGGUAAGGGGAUGACCAUCCCCUAUAGAGGAGGACAAGAAUUUAGUCAAGGGCAUACCAGUUGCUGUGCUCCCCUGCUAGAACCUCCAAAUAAGCUCUCAAGAAUAAGUAACGUGUGUGUUUUUGUAUAUACACAUACAUACAUUUUUCAGUACUCAUGU
rnacentral:snRNA from 1 species